rnacentral:rRNA from 1 species
AGUGAACGCUGGCGGCGUGCCUAACACAUGCAAGUCGAACGUGAAAGCGAGCAAUCCCUAGUCAAGUGGCGUACGGGUGAGGAACACGUAAGUAAUCUACCCCAGAAUCUGGAAUAACCGGCCGAAACGCUGGCUAACACUGGCUAGUACGGCGUAAUCCGUAAUUGGGUUUUCCGGGGAAGGUCGCCUGUUGCAAGGCCUUCUUACUGGGAUUAGCCUGCGUGCCAUCAGCUGGUUUGUGAGGGCAAAGCUUACCAAGCGAAUGACGGGUAGCUGGUCUGAGAGGGCGUGCUGACACACAGGGACAGGAAAACGGGUCAGACUCCCACGGGGGGGAGAAGUGGGGGAACUUGCGCAAAGGGGGAAAGUCUCAAGCAGCAACGCCGCGGGAGGGAAGAAGGGCCUUCGGGUGUUAAACUCUGUUUAGUGGGAAAGAAAAGCUGGGGGUUAACAGCUCCAGGAACUGACGGUACCAAAAAAGGAAGCACCGGCUAACUUCGUG